CCAACCCUAAAACAUUUUUAUUCUCUCUUCCUUCUCUGCAAGCAGCGCCGCUGCUUUUCCUCCUCCACGGUGAACUCCGGUGAGACGCCUUUCGACCCCUCUCUCUAUCCUUCUCUUCCUAUCUCUCGUUCCUCCAUUCUCUCCGGCGAGACUCCAUCCUCCCUCCUCCCUUCUUCUUCUUCGUCUCCCCCUCUCCUCCUCUCUUUUCUCCAGCAGGGACGACCAACAACAGACAGCAGCAGCGGCGACCACCACCAGCAGCCGGCCAGUGUCCCCGCCUCAUCUCUUCUCUUUUCUCCAGCAGUUGCGCCCAACAGGAAUGAGCAGCAGCGCUCAACGACCAGCAGCAGGUGAGAGCAGCAGCUGCGACAGCGAAAACCAAUAAGCUCCGGCCAGUGAUCAAGGCAAGCUCCAGCCAAGCCCUUUGAAAGCUUUAAGUUGGUCAAAAGAUGGAUCUUUAACAGAUUCGUUCAGUAUUUUGUUUAGCAGGUUUGAACUAAAAGCUCAAGAGAUAAAGAGUCGCUUGAGAUGGGUUUCCGGACAAGAUUUAGUUUAUUAUUAUAUUUCUAUUGCUCCAUGUUUAGUUUGGUAUUGUAAUACAUGUAGUAACUCUAACUCUCCAAUAUUGUUAAAUAACCCGGGGAAUCGCCUAAGGGGAAAGGGGUUACGUGCUACUUGUUUAUUUUAUUUUAUCACAACUUAUUUGUGUUGGAAAAUAUUCUUAUAGGAUUGUGAUUCAUUUGUUAGUCCGUGUUUUAACAAA